rnacentral:rRNA from 1 species
AGUGAACGCUGGCGGUAGGCCUAACACAUGCAAGUCGAACGGCAGCACAGUAAGAGCUUGCUCUUACGGGUGGCGAGUGGCGGACGGGUGAGGAAUACAUCGGAAUCUACUUUUUCGUGGGGGAUAACGUAGGGAAACUUACGCUAAUACCGCAUACGACCUACGGUUGAAAGCAGGGGAUCUUCGGACCUUGCGCGAUUGAAUGAGCCGAUGUCGGAUUAGCUAGUUGGCGGGGUAAAGGCCCACCAAGGCGACGAUCCGUAGCUGGUCUGAGAGGAUGAUCGGCCACACUGGAACUGAGACACGGUCCAGACUCCUACGGGAGGCAGCAGUGGGGAAUAUUGGACAAUGGGCGCAAGCCUGAUCCAGCCAUACCGCGUGGGUGAAGAAGGCCUUGGGGUUGUAAAGCCCUUUUGUUGGGAAAGAAAAGCAGCAGGUUAAUACCCCGCUGUUCUGACGGUACCCAAAGAAUAAGCACCGGCUAACUUCGUG